rnacentral:rRNA from 1 species
GAUGAACGCUGGCGGCGUGCCUAAUACAUGCAAGUCGAGCGAACGGACGAGAAGCUUGCUUCUCUGAUGUUAGCGGCGGACGGGUGAGUAACACGUGGAUAACCUACCUAUAAGACUGGGAUAACUUCGGGAAACCGGAGCUAAUACCGGAUAAUAUUUUGAACCGCAUGGUUCAAAAGUGAAAGACGGUCUUGCUGUCACUUAUAGAUGGAUCCGCGCUGCAUUAGCUAGUUGGUAAGGUAACGGCUUACCAAGGCAACGAUGCAUAGCCGACCUGAGAGGGUGAUCGGCCACACUGGAACUGAGACACGGUCCAGACUCCUACGGGAGGCAGCAGUAGGGAAUCUUCCGCAAUGGGCGAAAGCCUGACCGAGCCACGCCGCGUGAGUGAUGAAGGUCUUCGGAUCGUAAAACUCUGUUAUUAGGGAAGAACAUAUGUGUAAGUAACUGUGCACAUCUUGACGGUACCUAAUCAGAAAGCCCCGGCUAACUUCGUG